rnacentral:tRNA from 1 species
UGGGACGAGCUGGAUUUGAACCAGCGUAGACAUAUCGUCAACGAAUUUAUGUCAACGAAUUUACAGUCCGUCCCCAUUAACCGCUCGGGCAUCGACCC